CAUAGCUUUUUGAUUAUUAAUUAAAAGUAUAAUCUGCCCAGUGAUGUUUAUUUAACGGCCGCAGUAUUUUGACUGUGCAAAGGUAGCGUGAUAAUUAGUUUUUUAAUUGGAAUCUGGUAUGAAUGAUUGGACAAGGAAAAUUCUGUCUUAGUAGAAUUUAUUUAUAAUUUAAUUUUUGAGUUAAAAAGCUUAAAUUUUAUUAAAGGACGAGAAGACCCUAUAGAGUUUAAAAUUUUACUAAUUCAUAUAUUUUAGUAUUAUUAAUUAUUUGAUAUAUAUAAAUUUUUGAUUGGGGUGAUUUAAAGAUUUAAUUAACUCUUUAAAAUUUAUUACAGAGAUUUCUGGUUAUAUGAUCCAUAUUUUUGAUUAUAAGAUUAAAUUACCUUAGGGAUAACAGCGUAAUUUUCUAGAAAGUUCAUAUUGAAUUGAAAGUUUGCGACCUCGAUGUUGGAUUAAAAUUAAUUUUAGGUGUAGAAGCUUUGAUAUUAAGUCUGUUCGACUUUUAAAAUUUUACAUGAUCUGAGU
rnacentral:rRNA from 1 species